rnacentral:rRNA from 1 species
AUACAGAGGGUGCGAGCGUUAAUCGGAAUUACUGGGCGUAAAGCGCGCGUAGGCGGUCUAUUAAGUCAGAUGUGAAAUCCCAGGGCUCAACCUUGGAACUGCAUCUGAUACUGGUAGACUAGAGUUUUGGAGAGGGAAGUAGAAUUUCAGGUGUAGCGGUGAAGUGCAUAGAGAUCUGAAGGAAUACCAGUGGCGAAGGCGACUUCCUGGCCAAAAACUGACGCUGAGGUGCGAAAGCGUGGGUAGCAAACGGGAUUAGAAACCCCAGUAGUCC